CACGUAGGGCGCAAGCGUUGUCCGGAAUUAUUGGGCGUAAAGAGCUCGUAGGCGGACUGUCACGUCUGCUGUGAAAAGCUGGGGCUUAACCCUGGCCUUGCAGUGGAUACGGGCAGACUAGAGGUAGGUAGGGGAGAAUGGAAUUCCCGGUGUAGCGGUGAAAUGCGCAGAUAUCGGGAGGAACACCGGUGGCGAAGGCGGUUCUCUGGGCCUUACCUGACGCUGAGACGCGAAAGCUAGGGGAGCGAACAGG
rnacentral:rRNA from 1 species